rnacentral:rRNA from 1 species
ACGAACGCUGGCGGCGUGCUUAACACAUGCAAGUCGAGCGGUAAGGCCCUUUCGGGGGUACACGAGCGGCGAACGGGUGAGUAACACGUGGGUGACCUGCCUUUAGCUCUGGGAUAAGCCUGGGAAACUGGGUCUAAUACCGGAUAUGACUCCAUGAUGCAUGUUGUGGGGUGGAAAGCCUUGUGCGGCUGGAGAUGGGCCCGCGGCUAUCAGCUUGUUGGUGGGGUGAUGGCCUACCAAGGCGACGACGGGUAGCCGGCCUGAGAGGGCGACCGGCCACACUGGGACUGAGACACGGCCCAGACUCCUACGGGAGGCAGCAGUGGGGAAUCUUGCGCAAUGGGCGAAAGCCUGACGCAGCGACGCCGCGUGAGGGAUGACGGCCU